GACGGAGGUGGCAAACGUUGCUCGGAAUCACUGGGCUUAAAGGGCGUGUAGGCGGCAAAUCAAGUCGGAUGUGAAAUCCCUCGGCUCAACCGAGGAACUGCACCCGAUACUGGUUAGCUAGAGUGCGAGAGGGGUGAGUGGAACUCCAGGUGUAGCGGUGAAAUGCGUAGAUAUCUGGAGGAACGCCGGUGGCGAAAGCGACUCACUGGCUCGCAACUGACGCUAAGGCGCGAAAGCUAGGGUAGCGAACGGG
rnacentral:rRNA from 1 species